rnacentral:rRNA from 1 species
GCCUACGGGGGGCAGCAGUAGGGAAUAUUGCUCAAUGGGGGAAACCCUGAAGCAGCAACGCCGCGUGGAGGAUGAAGGUUUUCGGAUUGUAAACUCCUUUUGUUAGAGAAGAUAAUGACGGUAUCUAACGAAUAAGCACCGGCUAACUCCGUGCCAGCAGCCGCGGUAAUACGGAGGGUGCAAGCGUUACUCGGAAUCACUGGGCGUAAAGAGCGCGUAGGCGGGAUAGCAAGUCAGAUGUAAAAUCCUAUGGCUUUACCAUAGAACUGCAUUUGAAACUGUUAUUCUAGAGUAUGGGAGAGGUG